rnacentral:rRNA from 1 species
UACGGAGGGGGUUAGCGUUGUUCGGAAUUACUGGGCGUAAAGCGCACGUAGGCGGAUUGAUAAGUUGGGGGUGAAAUCCCGGGGCUCAACCCCAGAACUGCCUCCAAAACUAUCAGUCUUGAGUUCGAGAGAGGUGAGUGGAAUUCCGAGUGUAGAGGUGAAAUUCGUAGAUAUUCGGAGGAACACCAGUGGCGAAGGCGGCUCACUGGCUCGAUACUGACGCUGAGGUGCGAAAGCGUGGGGAGCAAACAGG